UACGGAGGGUGCAAGCGUUGCUCGGAAUUAUUGGGCGUAAAGGGUAGGUAGGUGGUCUCAUUUGUCUGGGGUGAAAGCCUUGAGCUUAACUCAAGAAGUGCCCCGGAAACGGUGAGACUCGAGUCUUGGAGAGGGUCGUGGAAUUCCCGGUGUAGCGGUGAAAUGCGUAGAGAUCGGGAGGAACACCAGUGGCGAAGGCGGCUUCCUGGCCUGUAACUGACGCUGAGACGCGAAAGCGUGGGGAGCGAACCGG
rnacentral:rRNA from 1 species